GUGUUUUGUACUCGUUCGGGAUUCAGGCUGUAUAUGAGUUAGUGAGGACUGAAGAGAGGAGAGUUAAACAAACAAGCAAACAAACAAACACACAGGGCAAGAAAACAGGACCCAACAGCAGACGCUGACACCCUCCCGACCUGCAGUGCAGAGUGAUUCCAAGAACCGCGCGCGACAUUCCGUGUCUCAGGAAAGAUGGUCUAAAUCAAGCAGUGCUUAGAGCCUCCCACAACGGGCCUUCAACCAUAUUUGGAAGAAAAGAAGGAAUCCAGAGAGGAAAUGGUUACCUGUGCUUACAGGCGGUCUGCACCACAAGCGCUGACUCAGCAAGAGGGAACUCUGCGUACCCCUGUCCCGAAAGCCCCUUGAGCAAGGACGUCAGAAAGAGACUAAAAUGGAGGGACAGCCUCCGAGGGCCCUGGAGCAGGGUAACAUGAGAUCUAUGACUAUCUAGUCAUUCGCUACCUGCAUUUGAAAGCAUAUGCAUUAUUAUGGUUGUCACCAUUUAUAGUAGUAUACUUAGACGUUGUCCAUCGAAUCUGGACGCAUACUCAAUUUGAAACUAAAUAAAACCUAAAGGAACAUAGGUGACCAUGAGGGACUCCAGGGAACAUUCUCUGGGACGGAACUCUGUGAAGAGUGGAGAAGAGGCCUCUAGGAUCAAGCUAUUCAUCAUGGAUACAGCCUCAGAUCCAGGACCUCCACCCUCUGGUGCAGUAUUUCCAGGAUAUUAGUGGGGGACUGUGGACCAUUCAAGCCUUGGAACAAGUCUAGCCCAACCACUGUCUAACUUUGCUGCUGACGGAAGCCUGACCCAGCCCUGACCUCGUAGACCUUAUAGGAAUAUGUUCUCAGCUCACUGCUCCACAUUUCUGGCCCUGUGACCUCACCAAACAAACACCUGCCUAUCUCAGAGCAUUGUAUCUAUUCAUGUUGAUUUCUGUCUCUUCCUUAUUAGUCUCUUGCACAAACCAUGAACUGGAUGAAAGCAAGAACGGGAUCGUUUGGGUUCUGUGGGUGACAUCAGGACUUGACUGUGGACUUGACUUGCAUCUGGCACAGCCUGCUCGCCAGCUCCUAUUCCCUUGCCCACCUGUUCUUUGACCUUGAACGCCCAACCCCUUUUUCUUGGCAUCAGUAUCGUCCUCUCUAAGAGCAGAGAUUAGGAUUAAUAAAUCUAUGACGUGCUUGUCACAGGGACUAAUGAGACUGUA